rnacentral:lncRNA from 10 species
UCCUGAAGCAAGCCAAUAUGGAGCAACCAACCAGCCAAACAAAAAUAUCCUCAGACCUGGAGGAGGAACAAACUCCAGGCCAAAACCGUUUCUUUGUUGACACAAAUUAAGGGGUAAAGCCAAUUCCUUACUGAAAAAGAAUUGAAAUUUAUAAUAGAACUCAUCUUAUAUCUUUAAUCAUUUAUCAUAUAUGAUAUAAAACCUGUAAAUAAGCAUUAUUCUAGAGUGGUUUCAGUCAUUUUCAAAUUAUUUGUUUGUAUAAGAUCUGGAGUUAAUAAACCCCUGCAGGUAUUUAUUCAACCAGAGAAGCUGCCUGUGGAGCUGACUGGCCUCUCCCAGUCAAGGCCCCGGAGAAGAAUGGAAAAACCAGUUCAGCUUAUUUCCUACUGGGAGUGAGACAAGUGGCGCAGUCAUGGGAGAAAGGUCACCUAAAGAGAAAUUAACUGAACAGUCAGGGCAUAAAUCAAAGGGGAAAGAGUCACUUUUAUACAUCCGUCUCCAUGAUUUUCAUGUCCAAUUUAUCAACAAGUUCUCAAUUGUUCCACCAAGAGUACUUGAAUCCGUCACUCCUUUUUUUUUUUUUUUUUAAAGACAGCAUCUCACUCUGUGGCCCAGGCUGGAGUGUGGUGGCACUAUCACAGUUCAUUACAGCCUCAACGUCUCGGACUCAGAUGAUCCUGCCACCUCAAUCUCCCAAGUAGUUGGGACCACAGGUAAUGAGAGAUCACCAGGCUAGGAGGAUAGAGAAGCCUGAAUUCUGCUAAGGAAUAGACAUAAACAACUGCCAGCCAUUAUUCUGGAGGUCACAAGAAGUGAUUCAGCACUCAGGAUUAUUGCCCACACCCCUACGAUUGCACCCCCAAGCAAUCACCAGCAAGCACCCAAUGCCUAGCCAUCCCCACCCCUUCCCCCAAACUACCUUUGAAAAACCCCUAACCUACCAGCCUUCAAUGAGAUUGAUUUGAGUAAUAACUCCAUCUCCAGUGUGGAGUGGCCAGCCUCACAUCAAUUAAACUCUUUCUUUACUGCAAUGCUAUGGUCUUUGUUUGUGCAGCAGGCAGGAAGAACUCCUCAGGCAGUUACACUUCGAGCCUUAAGACACCUUGAUGUCAGACUUCCAGUGCCCUGAAUUGUGACAGAAUAAAUUUCUGUUGUUUUAAAACUCCCAAGUUUGUGACAGUUUGUUAUGGCAGUUCUAGGAAACUAAAAUAAAUGGUGAUUUUUGACGCCCCUUAAAUCACCUCACUUAUGGGAGUGUCCACUUCAUCUACUCCAGGCUCACCCCCUCUUUUCCCAAAGAGAAGAAAUAUUUUGUGUACGAGAAUAUUUCUUCCUGAUCUUCACUUUGCAGCAUAUGGACUGCAACAAGAGCGUGAGAAAAGCAAUGCCAAGUCAAUAAGGAUUGCUUGUCCAGUGCACAAAACACCCUGCUUAGCAUAAGAGUAACAGAAGCAUUUCUUUGUCACUAGUUAGCUGUGUGACCUUAAGGGAGUGACUUAACCCUUUGAAACUUCCACUUUCUCAAAACAAAUUAGUUGCACAAUACAUAUUUAAGGUCCUUAAUGUCAUAGAAUUACUUAGCAAAUUAUAGUAUUAGGAGCAAAGAAAAGACAAUAGGGGAAAACAUGAAGAAGCCUUGGAAACUUGAGUACAUCCUCCCUAAAGGAAAAUAACUCCCACAAAUGCUUAAAACGCACCCAUUACAUAGGGCUUUAAUCAUAGGAUAAUUUUGUGCCUGCAACUGCCUAAUUUUUAGUACCAUAGUAAAUAGGUCCUGACAACAGAUUGUUCUUUUAAAUGCAAAUGUUCCCACUAUCUUGACACAUUAUAAUUGUUCUUAGGGCUAUUGACAUCAACAACAUCAGUAUCUCAGGAAAAAUGUGCUGUAUGUAUUUCACUACCUGUCUCGGCUAACCCAUAUGAACAUAUAGCCCUUUUUCUUCAGCAAUCCUCUCUGCAAAUCAUGAUCAUAGAGGCCUCCCCUUAGCAGGACACAGCCUCUCCUAGCCAUCCUGGGAAUUAACUCCACACAGCAGGUUGGGUCUUGCCUACUCACCUUGCAAGCACUCAAUUCAAGGUUAGAGAAAGGUGUAAUUAAAGAGAGAAUAUAAUCUUUCAAUCUUUAGGUUGCAUAUCAAGGACCAAAGUCUCCAAAGACUCUCACUAGCUGAAGCUCUUUGGCAAUGGAGGGGGAAAAUCAAGGCUAGGAAGAGUUAAUCCAGAUUCUAGGACAGGUUAACGUUUCCCUCUUGCUUAGCCCAAGACCUUUAGCCUCUUUUUACUUCUUGCAUUACCAUAUCAAUAUUCCCUUUUCACCCAAAUCCCUCCAUCUACAGCAACUGGUGAGCUGUAAGUUUUGUUUUGUUUAUAUUUGUUAGCAGCUUAACUAUUUCAUGUUCAUUUACAUAUUCCAUGCAAUGUAUCCAUUGAAGUCACUAACAUAUUACUUCCUUGUAGAUCCUUUACAUUCUUUACCAUAUUUUUUUAGUUUAAGGAAAAAUAGCCAAUAAUGUCCCUGCUUAAAUAGAACACAAAGAAGUGAGAGUAUUGAUGGUUAUAAAUUGCUCCUGGUCUUCCAAUAUGGAAACCAAAAACUGGAGACUGGAAAAUCACAUGAAGGAAGACUUUUAGAAAAGUGAUUCAACUGUUAUUAUGAAUUCCUUGAAAAUUUUAACCAAUAGGUUAAAGUUAAAACAGGUUAAUAUAAAAGAAAAACAUAAAUGAUUUAAUGACAUAGUGAGUAGAAAAGUGACACAUACUUCAAAGGGAGAAUGGGGAUACCAGUACAGGGAGUUUGGGAAGAGAAAGUAUGAACUAUAGAAAGGGGAGGAGAAACUGAUACAGAAGGCAUGAGCUCGUGUGUUGCUCUUCAGGUGUUUGUCAGAUCUAGUUACUAACAAUAACAACCAUGCACAAAUGUCCUAUGUGAGAGCAGUAAAAGCUCCUCUGGUAGGCUAGGCCACCUACCAGCUCUGUCCUGCCUCUCAAGGUGAAAGUCAGAACCAUCAUAUUCCCUGUGCAACCCAAGGCCUAACAAAUCCCAGAACAGUAGCCCUCGUUACACUAAGAUUCCCGCGGUUCUCAGGUCGAGAUGCCAAAGUAGGCCAUUUAGCAGCCAGCUGUUCCUGGUGACUAACUUAUCAGUGCUCUGAGGAUUAUUUUUGAAGAUAUAAAUGAAUGUUAGUCUUUGAGCCCCAGAAACACAGCUCACUAAAUAUGAAUCAUUGUGCUAAUCCAGUGCAGGACUCUGUAGGUGUGGGCUGUGUUGUUUGUCCUGGGCUCAAGGAAGAAAGCAAUGAUAUAUUUAAAGCAGGGUGUUUUCAGAGAGAGCAUUAACACAGUGAAUUAUAUGGAGAAUGCAAAUGAAAGAACAGUGAAAGUGACCUUGAGUCCUGUGGCUCAAACUAGUUCCCUGUUAGCUAAUAGCCAAACUGAUCGAGAACAUCAGGAGAGGAAGUUAUAGAUGUUCUGUUUAUUAAACAGAAAACAUUAACAACUUGGUUGUACAUUGAAACACACUAAGACAUGAAAACAAGCACAGGGCAAAAGGGAAAAGUUCAGCGAAUUUUCCUGAACUUUUUUUUUCCUUUUUAGUGCUGUUUUAGCAAUGGCAUUUGAUCAAAUACAGGAAAGGAAUUUUUUGUUUUGUUUUGUUUGUUUUUUUGCAGAGCUUCUUUUGUCCCUAUGAGAUUCACAAUUUUAAUGCAAUCCACUGCAGAAACUGUUGAAAUAUAAAUCUACAGGUCAUAUCUCAAAGUAAGAUGGUAGCACAUUCCAUUGUUUGGGGGAACAGCAGAGACAUUAGAGCUCAGAGGAUGUUUCCAUUUUACAGGAUGGAAAAUGGAGGCCCAAGAAAUUCAAAUGACGUGCCCAAGGUAGUCAUGGAAAUAAGUCUAGAAUUUUGACUUCUGUCCACGCAUACAUCCUGUGCCUUAAGGUCAUGAGUUGCCACUCAUCACCGCAGUCCCUUAUAAGGCUUAGGCUGGGUAUAGAGAAAAUGGAAGAAAGCCAUUGCAAAGUUACAUCUGAAUAACUCUAAGCAUGCUACACUCAAUAAAACCCAACUUCCGAAAAACAUGGCUUACAGACCAAGUUUUUACUGUUUAUGGGACUGCAGUGUUCUGCACACAUGACUAAAAAGCUCCAAGCACUACCUUAAAUCAUCCAUAGUUGUAGGCUAAAGUCUGCCCCCAGCCCCACCCCUUCACCCAAACCUCUAAAUGUGAUCUGUGAAAUUUCUUUCUACUUUGAGAAUAGGAAAAUGAGCUGGGCUCAGUUAAGGGCCAUCACCAAGUUCCACAUGGCUCCUGAGAUGGUUUGUCUUCUGGGUAUGAGCCCCUUCCCCCUUCUCCCUCAGAUGAAGCUCUCUUAACCCACUGGACACCUGUGGGCAGCUUAGGCAAGGAGGGCAGCCUCUAGGUAGGCAGAUUCAAAGUUGAUUCAAACAUGCUCUUGUCCCUCUGGGCAUUCACACUAAGCUCUUUCACCUUUCAGCCAGACAUACACAUCAGGAUUUCCUGACAGGAACACUUGGUUGAUGUUGGCAGCUGAAGAAGCGAAAGCAUUUUCCUUGGUUGACAACCCUUGAAUCUGUGGACAAGUCACAUAAAUCUAAAAGUUUAUACUGUCCACAGUCCUUUCCUUUGGUCCUAAUAUCAGCGCCAACGUGGAUUCACAGCCAAAAGGAGUUCAUGAUGCAUCUCCCAUGGAAAGAGCUUAUACCUCAAACCCACAAGGCUCCCCUCUACAUUCACCACAUGGAGAACAGACCAGCCAAAACCUCUCAGGAGUAAGGAAAGCCAAAGGAGAAACCUCAGGAAGGGCUGGACUGGGCACAUUUGGUUUCCUUGAAGUCACUUAUUAGAUAACUAAGCUAACUCUUCCUCAUGACAGAGAAGAGUGGCUUGGGUCUCUCCCCGCAGGAAGACAUGGCCAGGGGAAUGAAGGUUCUUCCUCGACAGGUGUACUGGAGAUAUUCUACAUCAAUGUUUUAGAAUUCUGUUUGUAAAUAAUGCCAGUUGAAAAUGAUGGUUUUUUUGUGUGUAACUAGUACAAUCCAAAUCAGACAUUUAUUGAACUCUCACUGUGUGUAAAGGAAAAUACUUACCUCUGUAGGAUAGAGGAUAAAGAACUACUAAGAUAAGCACAUAAUGCUUCACAAAAGUACUAAAAAAAAAAUUAAAAAAGUAAAACUGUCACCUUAGAAUUCUGUAUUACAUGAAAAUAUAUUUAUUUUUAUUCAUUUAUUUGCUUGUUUUUGAGACAGGGUCUCCCUCUGUCACCCAGGCGGGAGUGCAGUGGAGCAAUCACAGAUCACUACAGCCUUGACCUCCCAGGCUCAAGUGAUCCUCCCACCUCAUUAUUGUACAUUUUUAAAUGUACAAUAGAUUAUUGUUGAACUGGAAUCCAGCUAGAAUCCAAUUUUUAGAAACUCACUCUAAGGUAAUGAUUAAAAUAUCAGGUGUUAGUUCUAUAAAUCUGUCAUCUAGAUUAAAAACCAGAUGCUUCCAUUCCAGGGUGGAGUAUUUGCCAGUAACUCUCUGGAGAUCUGUCUUAUCUGUGACCAAGACAACGAAGCUUAAAAAAAGGCAAUAAUGUUGGAAAAAGACAUGAAUAUGGUCUGUAUUAAAUUGAUUCUACUUUUUAUUUAGUCAUGACUCUGGACUAACUUUCAAAAAGUAAAAUGUUAUGCCAGCCUAGCAAAUGUUCAUAUCAAAUUCCUCAUUGUUUUCUCUACUCUCCUUUGUCCUGCCCUCCACUUUUGUUUGCUUGGUGAGGCUCACCCUAAAAUAUGUAAAAAUAUGUAAAAUAUGUAAAAAAAAAAUUUAAAAAGCAAUGAUGUUCUGUUGGAAGAAACAAAGGAAAGAAAUAAAAGUUGCAUUUAAAGGGUACAGAAAGAAAUGAUUUUCCUUUUCUGCUUCAAAUGGG